rnacentral:sRNA from 3 species
UCUCUCCGUACGGGGAAGGAUGAGAAGCUUCGACCAAGGUUCGAUUCGAGCGCAGCGAGAAAGCGUUGCCGCAGGCAACGACCCGAAGGGCGAAGCGCGCAGCGCUGAGUCAUCCUUCCCCCACCACCA